rnacentral:rRNA from 1 species
UACGGAGGAUCCAAGCGUUAUCCGGAUUCAUUGGGUUUAAAGGGCGCGUAGGCGGUCGUGACAAGUCACUUGUGAAAUCUCCGGGCUUAACUCGGAACGGUCAAGUGAUACUGUCGGACUAGAGUACAGAAGGGGCAACUGGAAUUCUCGGUGUAGCGGUGAAAUGCGUAGAUAUCGAGAGGAACACCUGCGGCGAAGGCGGGUUGCUGGGCUGAUACUGACGCUGAGGCGCGAAAGCCAGGGAGCGAACGGG